rnacentral:rRNA from 1 species
CAGCAGCCACGGUAAUACGUAGGUGGCAAGCGUUGUCCGGAAUUAUUGGGCGUAAAGGGCUCGCAGGCGGUUUCUUAAGUCUGAUGUGAAAGCCCCCGGCUCAACCGGGGAGGGUCAUUGGAAACUGGGAAACUUGAGUGCAGAAGAGGAGAGUGGAAUUCCACGUGUAGCGGUGAAAUGCGUAGAGAUGUGGAGGAACACCAGUGGCGAAGGCGACUCUCUGGUCUGUAACUGACGCUGAGGAGCGAAAGCGUGGGGAGCGAACAGGAUUAGAGACCCCGGUAGUCCCUGUCUCUUAUAC